rnacentral:sRNA from 1 species
GAACACAAAUGCAGCUUUGAGCUCCUGCAGCUUGUGCUUCUUCAGGGGCUUAUUCUCUUGUCCUACUCGCUCUUUACUGAGCGUGUUUGAAGAAGAUGCUGGCACCCUCACAGACUAUACCAACCAGCUGCUCCAGGCAAUGCAGCGCGUCUAUGGAGCCCAGAAUGAGAUGUGCCUGGCCACACAACAGCUUUCUAAGCAACUGCUGGCAUAUGAAAAACAGAACUUUGCUCUUGGCAAAGGUGAUGAAGAAGUAAUUUCCACACUCCACUAUUUUUCCAAAGUGGUGGAUGAGCUUAAUCUUCUCCAUACAGAGCUGGCUAAACAGUUGGCAGACACAAUGGUUCUACCUAUCAUACAAUUCCGAGAAAAGGAUCUCACAGAAGUAAGCACUUUAAAGGAUCUAUUUGGACUCGCUAGCAAUGAGCAUGACCUCUCAAUGGCAAAAUACAGCAGGCUGCCUAAGAAAAAGGAGAAUGAGAAGGUAAAGACCGAAGUUGGAAAAGAGGUGGCCGCGGCCCGGCGGAAGCAGCACCUCUCCUCCCUUCAGUACUACUGUGCCCUCAACGCGCUGCAGUACAGAAAGCAAAUGGCCAUGAUGGAGCCCAUGAUAGGCUUUGCCCAUGGACAGAUUAACUUUUUUAAGAAGGGAGCAGAGAUGUUUUCCAAACCUAUGGACAGCUUUUUAUCCUCCGUUGCAGACAUGGUUCAAAGCAUUCAGGUAGAACUGGAAGCCGAGGCGGAAAAGAUGCGGGUGUCCCAGCAAGAAUUACUUUCUGUUGAUGAAUCUGUUUACACUCCAGACUCUGAUGUGGCCGCACCACAGAUCAACAGGAACCUCAUCCAGAAGGCUGGUUACCUUAAUCUUAGAAACAAAACAGGGCUGGUCACCACCACCUGGGAGAGGCUUUAUUUCUUCACCCAAGGCGGGAAUCUCAUGUGUCAGCCCAGGGGAGCCGUGGCUGGAGGUUUGAUCCAGGACCUGGACAACUGCUCAGUGAUGGCCGUGGAUUGCGAAGACCGGCGCUACUGCUUCCAGAUCACCACGCCCAAUGGAAAAUCGGGAAUAAUCCUCCAGGCUGAGAGCAGAAAGGAAAAUGAAGAGUGGAUAUGUGCAAUAAACAACAUCUCCAGACAGAUCUACCUGACCGACAACCCUGAGGCAGUCGCGAUCAAGUUGAAUCAGACCGCUCUGCAAGCAGUGACUCCCAUUACAAGUUUUGGAAAAAAACAAGAAAGCUCAUGCCCCAGCCAGAACCUGAAAAAUUCAGAGAUGGAAAAUGAAAAUGACAAGAUUGUUCCCAAAGCAACAGCCAGGCUACCUGAAGCAGAGGAGCUGAUCGCGCCUGGAACGCCGAUUCAAUUCGAUAUUGUGCUUCCUGCUACAGAAUUCCUUGAUCAGAACAGAGGGAGCAGGCGUACCAACCCUUUUGGUGAAACUGAGGAUGAAUCAUUUCCAGAAGCAGAAGAUUCUCUUUUGCAGCAGAUGUUUAUAGUUCGGUUUUUGGGAUCAAUGGCAGUUAAAACAGACAGCACUACUGAAGUGAUUUAUGAAGCGAUGAGACAAGUAUUGGCUGCUCGGGCUAUUCAUAACAUCUUCCGCAUGACAGAAUCCCAUCUGAUGGUCACCAGUCAAUCUUUGAGGUUGAUAGAUCCACAGACUCAAGUAUCAAGGGCCAAUGUAAGUACCGCAUACAGGUUCAUGUUAGUGAUUACUCCUUAAUUCACCUUUGUAUCUACCUUAAACACAGCCUAGGCACUUUAUUAAUAAAGAUCUGCCACUAAUAGGACUAAUAG